rnacentral:lncRNA from 1 species
GUCCACUGAUUUAAUUGUACGUCUCAUUUCCAAACAUCCUCACAGGAACACCCAGAAUGACGUUUGGCCAAAUAUCCGGGCAGCAAGGCCCAGCCGCGUCUGUACGUGAGAUGAGGCAUCACAGGGAGGUUCUCAGGCCUUCCAGGACCUCCGUUCCAGGACAAUGAGGCUCCUCCAUGUCUUCCUCACCGCUCUCUUGAUCCUCUUCCAGACAGCACUAGGGUGCUCAAUUUUGAAAGACCCUGCUGUCUUCUGGGUGGAAUCUGCCUGAAGCAAGGGACGCCGAGCUGUGAGCCCUUCAGAGGACCCUGCUGGGCAUUCACUGUUUGCUGCAAAAUACAGCUGAGCUGAUGGAGGCAGCCUAGCUGAGGAACCCGGUGAGAGACCCUGAGCAAGUCUCCUCUUGUGCAAAUAAAAGCAGACAGUUCUCACA